UACAGAGGGUGCAAGCGUUAAUCGGAAUUACUGGGCGUAAAGCGUGCGUAGACGGUUGCGUAAGUCAGAUGUGAAAGCCCCAGGCUUAACCUGGGAACUGCGUCGGAUACUGGAUGGCUUGAAUUCGGGGAGAGGGAUGCAGAAUUCCAGGUGUAGCGGUGAAAUGCGUAGAUAUCUGGAGGAAUACCGGUGGCGAAGGCGGCAUCCUGGACCGACAUUGACGCUGAACAGCGAAAGCUAGGGGAGCAAACGGG
rnacentral:rRNA from 1 species